UUAUUUAUUUAUUUAUUUUUACUGUAAAAGACAUAGAAGGGGAAAAAAAAAGAAAGAUUAAUCCAUGGAAUCUUAAUUUUGAGAUGAAGAGGUGUGAACCAAUUCAUCUGACAUUUCUUUCUAGUGGAGAAAGCAGAUUUAUUUAGCUCUACUUAAGCAUCUUUUUAUGGCUUGAAAUUAAGAAGUACAUUGAAUUCUGUAUGCAUCUAUAUUUGAAGUUCUAUUUUAUUUCUGAGAAAAUCGAUUAUUCAG
rnacentral:misc_RNA from 1 species